rnacentral:rRNA from 1 species
UACGGAGGGGACUAGCGUUGUUCGGAAUUACUGGGCGUAAAGCGCACGUAGGCGGAUUUGUAAGUCAGGGGUGAAAUCCCGGGGCUCAACCCCGGAACUGCCUUUGAUACUGGGGAUCUUGAGUUCGGGAGAGGUGAGUGGAACUGCGAGUGUAGAGGUGAAAUUCGUAGAUAUUCGCAAGAACACCAGUGGCGGAGGCGGCUCACUGGCCCGAUACUGACGCUGAGGCACGAAAGCGUGGGGAGCAAACAGG